rnacentral:rRNA from 1 species
CCUACGGGUGGCAGCAGUAGGGAAUAUUGGUCAAUGGGGGAAACCCUGAAGCAGCAACGCCGCGUGGAGGAUGAAGGUUCUCCGAUUGUUAACCCUCUUUGUUAGAGAAGAUAAUGACGGUACCUGUCGAAUAAGCACCGGCUAACUCCGUGCCAGCAGCGGCGGCAAUACGGCGGGUGCCAGCGUUACUCGGAAUCACUGGGCGUAAAGGGCGCGUAGGGGGGGUAGCAAGUCAGAUGGGAAAUCCUUGGGCUUAACCAUAGAACUGCAUUUGAAACUGUUAUUCUAGAGUAUGGGAGAGGUAGGUGGAAUUCUUGGUGUAGCGGUAAAAUCCGUAGAGAUCAAGAAGAAUACUGAUUGCGAAGGCGACCUGCUAGAACAUAACUGACGCUGAUGCGCGAAAGCGUGGGGAGCGAACAGGAUUAGAUACCCUAGUAGUC